rnacentral:lncRNA from 1 species
GCCUAAACUUUUUAUUAUCUGGUCCUUUACAGGAAUAAUUUGCUGACCGCAAAUUUAAUGGAAUCUCUCCUCACCCCCACCCUAGAUUGGGUGGCUAAAAAAUCACAAGGUUUGGCAAAGACACCGAGACACCUGCUGCAUUUGAGCUGAAACAAAUAAGUAAAACGUCUAUUUAAUGAGGAUUCAAGCUAUGUAGCCCCAGAGGAAGGAAGUGGGACUUUUAAAAUAAAGAACGUCAUCUAUCCUCUGCCACAGACCGGAACGCCGUGGUGUCUCAGCACCAGCCCAAGCACUUUGGAGAGCUUAUUGAAUCCGAUCCUGAACAGUAGGAGGUAGGUAUGUUAUUUUCCAUUUAUAAGGACUGAAACUGAGGUUCUGAUGGCUGAAGUGACUUGCCCAAUUUGCA